GACGUAGGGGGCGAGCGUUGUCCGGAUUUAUUGGGCGUAAAGCGCUCGUAGGCGGCUCGUUGCGUCGGCUGUGAAAACCCGCAGCUCAACUGUGGGCUUGCAGCCGAUACGGGCGGGCUGGAGUUCGGUAGGGGAGACUGGAAUUCCUGGUGUAGCGGUGAAAUGCGUAGAUAUCUGGAGGAACACCGGUGGCGAAGGCGGCAUCCUGGACCAACACUGACACUGAAAAGCGAAAGCCAGGGGAGCAAACGGG
rnacentral:rRNA from 1 species